GACGAACGCUGGCGGCGUGCUUAACACAUGCAAGUCGAACGGAAAGGCCCUGCUUUCGUGUGGUGCUCGAGUGGCGAACGGGUGAGUAACACGUGAGUAACCUGGCCUUGACUUUGUGAUAACUUCAGGAAACUGGGGCUACUACCGGAUAGGAGCUCGUGCUGCAUGGUGGGGGUUGGACAGUUUCGGCGGUUGGGGAUGGACUCCCGGGUAACCAGCUUGUUGGUUGGGUAGUUGCUUACCAAGGCUUCGACGGAUAGCCGGCCUGAGAGGUUAGACGGGCACAUUAGGCCUGAGAUACGGCGCAGACUCCAACGGGAGGCAGCGGGCGAGAGUAUUGCACAGUGGGCGGGAGCGUGAUGCAACGACGCCGGGUGCGGGAUGCCGGCCUUCGGGGUAUAAACCGCUGUAGGCUGUGACGAAGCGUGAGUGACGGUAAUGGGUAAAGAAGCACCGGCUAACUACGUG
rnacentral:rRNA from 1 species